AGAGUUUGAUCCUGGCUCAGGACGAACGCUGGCGGCGCGCCUAAAACAUGCAAGUCGAGCGAGAACCGGGGCUUCGGCUCCGGGGAGAGCGGCGAACGGGUGCGUAACACGUGAGCAACCUGCCCCGAAGACCGGGACAACACCGGGAAACCGGUGCUAAUACCGGAUGUCCUCACCGGAUCGCAUGGUCUGGUGAGGAAAUGGAUUCCGCUUUGGGAUGGGCUCGCGGUCUAUCAGCUUGUUGGUGGGGUAACGGCCUACCAAGGCGACGACGGAUAGCUGGUCUGAGAGGACGAUCAGCCACACUGGGACUGAGACACGGCCCAGACUCCUACGGGAGGCAGCAGUUAGGAAUCUUGCGCAAUGGGGGAAACCCUGACGCAGCGACGCCGCGUGCGGGAUGAAGGCCUUCGGGUUGUAAACCGCUUUCAGGAGGGACGAAAUUGACGGUACCUCCAGAAGAAGGCCCGGCCAACUACGUGCCAGCAGCCGCGGUA
rnacentral:rRNA from 1 species